AGAAUCAUAGAAUGGUUUGGGCAGGAAGGGACAAUAAAGACCAUCCAGCUCCAACUCCCUGCCAUGGUCAGGGACUCCUUCCAUAAAUCAGGUGGCUUGAC